rnacentral:rRNA from 1 species
GACGAACGCUGGCGGCGUGCUUAACACAUGCAAGUCGAACGGUGAAGGGACUGGUUUUGCUGGUCCUGGAUGAGUGGCGAACGGGUGAGUAACACGUGAGUAACCUGCCCCCUUCUUCUGGAUAACCGCAUGAAAGUGUGGCUAAUACGGGAUAUUCUGGGUCUGUCGCAUGGUGGGCCUGGGAAAGAUUGCGCCUUUUUUGGUGUGUUUGGUGGGGGAUGGGCUCGCGGCCUAUCAGCUUGUUGGUGGGGUGAUGGCCUACCAAGGCGGUGACGGGUAGCCGGCCUGAGAGGGUGGACGGUCACACUGGGACUGAGACACGGCCCAGACUCCUACGGGAGGCAGCAGUGGGGAAUAUUGCACAAUGGGCGCAAGCCUGAUGCAGCGACGCCGCGUGAGGGAUGGAGGCCUUCGGGUUGUGAACCUCUUUCGCCAGUGAAGCAGGCCUGCCUCUUUUUGUGGGUGGGUUGACGGUAGCUGGAUAAGAAGCGCCGGCUAACUACGUG